GCACUGCUGAGGAGUCCCAUAAUAGGACGGAACGGUCGUUCAGUGC
rfam:Schistosoma mansoni strain Puerto Rico chromosome W, complete genome